GCGAGAUGAGGAGAGAGAGAGAGGGAGAGAGAGACACGUUUUCAGAGCUCCUUCAGCUCUUUCAAGUUCAACUUCAGUUCCAUCAGCUUGGUGGACGAGAUUCUAACAGGAGAUGAGUGGUCACCAUUCCUGUCUAUAAGGGACAGUCCAGCCCCCUCACUGUCCGUUUUCCAAUCAGAGGCUGCUAGCCAACACGGUUAUGAUGAAGGCGACCAAUUAAAGACUGGACCAGAGUUGCGCCUUCCCAACGACGUUCAACAUAACCACGAGGACAUAGGCCUUUCUUUAUACGAGGCUGUCAGCUUCAGCCAAUCAAGUCCGAAUGAGAUUGUGGACAACCAAUCGGACAACAGACAACAGGAAGUAGACAACAACAAUGACACAGGAGCUGACGCCAUUGCUGUCAUCAAACCGAAGAUAUUAUUGGAAAAUGAUGCAGCGGAGGAGAGUGAGUUGGACCACUCCAGACCCAUAUCUAAGGACACCCAUGACACUGUUGAAUUAUGCAAGUCCCCCAUAAGGACCCAAUCAAAGGACCUUCUUGACUUCCUCUGUGUUGAGGUGAGCCACACUGCUGGAUUGUGGGUAUUGUAGUCAUUUAAAGUGCUGUUGUAGCCCCCCCCCCCCCACCUGCAGGUUUUUGCUUCAACCCCAGUUGUAACUAACCUGAUUCAUCUUAUCAGACAGCUAAUUAUUAAAAUCAGGUGCUCUAGAUAAGGGUUGAACACCUACGGGACAGUAGCUCUGCAGGAACAGGGUUGGAGAGCCCUGGUAUAUAAACACUUACUGCAAAAUCUC
ensembl:lncRNA